rnacentral:rRNA from 1 species
UACGUAGGGACCGAGCGUUUGUCCGGAAUCAUUGGGCGUAAAGAGCGUGUAGGCGGCCACUUAAGUCCUGCGUGAAAUCUUGCGGCUCAACCGCAAGCGGUCGUGGGAACUGGGUGGCUAGAGUGCGGGAGAGGAGAGUGGAAUUCCUGGUGUAGCGGUGGAAUGCGCAGAUAUCAGGAAGAACACCCGUGGCGAAGGCGGCUCUCUGGACCGAUACUGACGGCUGAGGCGCGAAAGCGUGGGGAGCAAACAGG